rnacentral:sRNA from 1 species
GUUCUACCUUUUCUUGUCAUCCUUUCAUUAAAAAAAAGGAAAACCAUUUAUGCUACAUUUUAACAUCAAAAAAAUAUUAUGUUUUGGAUUUUCUGCACCUCUGUCCUUCAGAGUCAGAGAUAAUUGAGAGUUAAGUACAAUCAACCUUAAAGUUGCCUUGCAAGCCACCAGGAAAGGCAGAUAUUGGAGAGGCAGAAGCUAGCUUCAGGAUCAUGUCCCUAUAGUCAGUAACACACCAGCACCUAGGACCCUGCCACCUCUGCUCUUUUCUGGCCACCUCGAACAAACUGUUUUCCUUUUCCCAGGGCCUAUGACCCUGCAGACUAUGAGCAUUUGCCAGUUUCUGCUGAAAUUAAGGAACUCUUCCAGUACAUCAGUAGGUACACACCUCAGUUGAUUGACCUGGACCACAAACUGAAGCCCUUCAUUCCUGAUUUUAUCCCAGCUGUCGGGGAUAUUGAUGCAUUCUUAAAGGUCCCACGUCCUGAUGGAAAGCCUGACAACCUUGGCCUAUUGGUAUUGGAUGAACCUUCUACAAAGCAGUCAGACCCUACAGUGCUCUCACUCUGGUUAACAGAGAAUUCUAAGCAGCACAACAUCACACAACAUAUGAAAGUAAAAAGCCUAGAAGAUGCAGAAAAGAAUCCCAAAGCCAUUGACACGUGGAUUGAGAGCAUCUCUGAAUUACACCGUUCUAAGCCCCCUGCGACUGUGCACUACACCAGGCCCAUGCCCGACAUUGACACGCUGAUGCAGGAAUGGUCCCCGGAGUUUGAAGAGCUUUUGGGCAAGGUAAGCCUGCCCACGGCAGAGAUUGAUUG